rnacentral:rRNA from 1 species
CGGGUGAGUAACACGUGGAUAACCUACCUAUAAGACUGGGAUAACUUCGGGAAACCGGAGCUAAUACCGGAUAAUAUUUUGAACCGCAUGGUUCAAAAGUGAAAGACGGUCUUGCUGUCACUUAUAGAUGGAUCCGCGCUGCAUUAGCUAGUUGGUAAGGUAACGGCUUACCAAGGCAACGAUGCAUAGCCGACCUGAGAGGGUGAUCGGCCACACUGGAACUGAGACACGGUCCAGACUCCUACGGGAGGCAGCAGAA